CCUUUUUGCAACCUGCCCAAGAAGUUUGCUAAUGCCCCUGAUUUAUUAUAGAGGCUGAGAGAAACAGCUUCGCACAGCAGGAUAAGCAUGCUUUUGACUUGGUUCCAGGACAUGAUCUGCAGAGCCCUCUCCUCUGCCUUCCUGUGCUUCUCCAAGAGGGAAUGCUGGCUGCUGAGCACAGACAGUGGGCUGGACCUCCAAGUUUCACAGAAUGCCAGCAGCAAUAUUCAGAGACAAUAUUCAAGAAAAAGGUUUGCCAUUGGAAGUUUCUGAAGAAAUUUUGUCUCCUGCUCUUGACUGUGGCAACUGGAAUUAACAGACCAAUCCUUUUCUUCCCUUCUCCCUGAAAAAGGCAGUGGGAGGCCAGGACACCACCUUUAUCUGAAGGCUUAUAUUGAAACUCUGAACUAGCAGUCCAUGAUUUUGAAGGAGAGGAUGAGGGCUUUUUCCCUUACCUGAGGAAUCUGCUCUUGAACUGGAGACCACAGCCUUUAAAAGCCUGGAGUGGUGAUGUCUGUCUUUCAGAAAUCCAUGCAAGUGUGUAACUCAUUACUUUUUUACCCAAAGGCAUUUCUCCAUGUGUUUCUUCACUAAGACUCAAAAAUUCCACACUGGAAUGCAAUAACAUUGCUCAAGGAAACUGGAGAUUGCCUUGCCUUGAAACAAAUCCUGUCCCCUCAUUGCUACAAGUGCCUGAAGGUGUGUGCACUACCUGUCCUUAGAGUCAUAAGCUAUUUAAUCAUGAACUAUAGAUAGUUAUGAGUAGCCAUAAACAACUUGGAUGCACCAAAAACUGCAGAGGGGGGAAGGAUUAAAGGUUGCAGGAGGGCAGAAAGAGGAGUCCAUGCUUAGGGCCACAUACCCAGGAGUGUGCUGGAGGGGAAGAGGGAGCUGGGAGAGAAGCCCCAGCUGGGUGUGAGGCUGGAGCCUCAGGAUGCUGCUGCCCAGCUCCAGCGGGCUCCAGCUCAUUUGCUGCUCUUUGAGGGCUUGUGUCAGCUUUGGAGGGAUUUUUCAAGGCAGUGCAGAGUGUGAGGGUGGCUGGGUUUUGUUGUGAAGGAGAGCAGGGUGUUUGCUCACCAGCUGCUGACAGCUCUGUCUCAGGGCAAAGAGGG